UUUUUUUUAGUGAAAUUUGAGAAGAGAAGAGUCAAAACUCUACGUCAGGAUACCUCACCAGAGAGAUGAAGGGACUGGGGAGUAAAAAGAAUUCCUAAACUCUCCGAUAUAUAUAAUCCUAAAUGACUCCAAACAUUUUUCUAGACUCAACAACGCCAACGAUUCGAUCAAGCAGGGGGCUCCUAAGGUCGGGGAAGGCUCUGAUUACCAACUUGUAACGCCCUCGAUGCGGCUAUAUCUCCUACGUGUCGAAGCACGACUUAGAGGCAUAACCGCAUUGAAAGCAAUGUCGCAAGUAAGGUAAUCUUCACAACAACCCAUGUAAAUAGAUAAAAAGGAAAUGAUACAUAGUUGGCUUACACUCGCCACGUCACACAAAUACAUGAAUAACAUUACAAUCAUCCAAUACACUCAUGGUCCGACUAGGGUACCAAAAUAAAGAUCAACCCCCACAUGCGACACGGUCCCCGAUCGCCCCAACUAGGCACCACUACUAAUCAUCUGGGAAAGACACAUAGUAACGGCGAGAGUCUUCAUCGAACUCCCACUUGAGCUCAAGCGCAUCGUCUGGAACGGUAUCAUCGGUCCCUACAACUGGUUUUGGAAGUAAUUUGUGAGUCACGGGGACUCAGCAAUCUCGCACCCUCACGAUCAAGACUAUUUAAGCUUAUACGUAAAGGCAAGGUAAUAUGUGGAGUUGCAGCAAGCGACUAGCAUAUAUGGUGGCUAACCUGUUCGCAAAAGAGAGCGAGAAGAGAAGGCAAAAGCACGGUCGAACAACUAUGAUCAAGAAGUGAUCCUAGAACAACCUACGUCAAACAUUACUCCAACACCGUGUUCACUUCCCGGACUCCGCCGAGAAGAGACCAUCACGGUUACACACGCGGUUGAUUCAUUUUAAUUAAGUAAAGUUUCAUGCUAUCUACAACCGGACAUUAACAAAUUCCCAUCUGCCCAUAACCGCGGGCACGGCUUUCGAAAGUUCAAAUCCCUACACGGGAGUCCCAACUUAGCCCAUCACAAGCUCUCACGGUCAACGAAGGAUAUUCCUUCUCCUGAGAUAUUUCGAUCAGGCUCGGCAUCCCGGUUACAAGACAUCCUCGACAAUGGUAAAACAAGUCCAGCAACACCGCCCGAAUGUGCCGACAAAUCCCGAUAGGAACUGCACAUAUCUCGUUCUCACGGCACACUCAGAUGAGCCAGACGUCGGGUAGGCCAGCCCAGAGUUGCCCCUGGUAGCCCCGGACAUCGCUCAGUUGGACCAACACUUAGAGAAGCACUGGCCCGGGGGGGUUAAAAAAAAGAUGACCCUUGAGUCCGCGAAACCCAAGGGAAAAAGGCUAGGUGGCGGAUGGUAAAACCAAUGUUGGGCAUUGCUGGAAGAGUUUUAUUCAAGGCGAACUGUCAAGGGGUUCCCAUUAUAACCAAACCGCGUAAGGAACGCAAAAUCCGGGAACAUAACACCGAUAUGACGGAAACUAGGGCGGCAAGAGUGGAACAAAACACUAGGCAUAAGGCCGAGCCUUCCACCCUUUACCAAGUAUAUAGGUGCAUUAAGAUAAUAAGAUAAUAUAGUGAUAUCCCAACAAUAAACAAUGUUCCAAUAAGGAACGAUCUUCAAUCUUUACCUGCAACUAGCAACGCUAUAAGAGGGGCUGAGCAAAGCGGUAACAUAGACAAUCAACGGUUUGCUAGGACAUGGUGGGUUAGAGGUUUGACAUGGCAAUUUGGGAGGCAUGAUAAGCAAGUGGUAGGCAUCGUAGCAUAGGCAUAGCAAAAGAGCGAGCAUCUAGCAAGCAAAGAUAGAAGUGAUUUCGAGGGUAUGAUCAUCUUGCCUGCAAAGUUGUCAGAGUUGACUUGAUCCUCGUAAGCGAACUCAACGGGCUCCUCAUUCAUGAACUCGUCUCCCGGCUCUACCCAAACAAGAACAACAAGCAAACAGAACACAAUCAACCACGUGCAAAGCUCAAACAACAUGAUGCGAACAUGGUAUGGUAUGCGGGACGUGGUAUGGGAUGCAUAUGCAAGAUUUGACAAGGAAUGAUUGAACCUGGACUCAACUUGGAAAUCCAAGAGUGCCACUGGAAAGGUGAGGUGAUUUCGGUUGAAAUCGAUAUAAAGGUCACCGAAAUCGGUUGCACGGUUUGGAAAUGGCAAGCAAAACAAAUAUGGCACCGGACUGCAAUAAUCAGCAAGUGACCAAAUAAAUGCAUCAAGAUAAAUGUGCUACAGCACUCAAACAUGACAACAAAAUACAUGGCAGGGGUCCACUCAUGAUGCUUGACAAAAGAUGAACACUGAGCUACGGCUAAUUCAUCCAUUAACAGGUUCAAACAAGCAUGGCAAAAGUGCAAAUGAUAACAGGUUUCAGACUUUGUGAAAUUAACACAAGUCUGGAAUUUAACAUCAGGAAGCACACUUUAGAACAUGAAAACUAUAUGCUACAGGAACUUAACAUGGCAAAGCAAGGCAUGGCAUGAAGUACUCAAAGCACUUAAUAAAAGUCCCUUAGUGACCUUGAGCCAAAAGGGAUAAGAAAAUACAAUUGCAAGCAUGUGAACAUGGCAAAAAUAUAAACAGAUUUCAGACUUCGUGAAAAACUGGAGCAUGCAAAUCAGUUAACGAGUAGGCAUGUUUACGACCUCGAUGCACUCACUACAGAGCAUGGAAUGACCAACUAAGCAUACACCCAUCAAGAAGACAUGGCAUAGAAGCUAGACAUGGCAAGAACAACAACAUAGGAUGCACGGAUCAAUAGCAACAUCCUCGGCAAAAUCGCUAAUCAUGUCAACAAUCUGCCAAGAUCACUUUAUAGCAAAAGUAGAGCUCGAUUGACUCAAGCUAGGGUGCUCCAUAAUUGCAAACAAAGACAUGGAUGGAUAGAGCACCACAAUAUUAACAAACCAUCCUUAAUGAUCAUCCUCAAAAGAGGCAUGGAUCACUAGGAAACAACAUGAACAUAUGGCAUAACGACAAAAUCAGGACAAGGACUUAGUGAAAUUCUAAGUCCCUGAAAUCAGCAUUACCGAUUACGCUACUUUGCAAGCUCGUGCUAGUCACCACAAAUAUCACAAAAAUACAUGGUAAGCACCUAUGUAAAGAUGACAUGACAUAUAACAAAACUCAUGUAGAGCUCAGGAGCAUAUCAUGCACAAAUUAAACAUGGCAAAAAUGACAAAAUGCCAUUUGAUGAAACAGAUCUGCCAAAUUUCUCACAUAGCCCUCUUCCAACAGCAUUUCGGGCAUCAAGAUGAACUCAAAUGAAAAUGAUGCAAUGAUUUGAAAUGAUGUACUGGUCGAGACGAACAUUUUUAUAUGCUACAUGCGCAAACCAAAGCUACAGACGCAGAGUUAUGGCAUGUCAAAGUAUGCAAGAAAAUUAGGGUUUCGGAACAAAAGUCAACCGCGGGAUAUUUCCAGAUCUGAGAUCCGGCCGGAGUUACUGUAGCAGAGGCGCGGAAAACGAGGUUCGCCGGGACCUGUUCGCCGGAAUCGUCGCCGGACUUGACGGGGACGGAAGAGACGGCGGCCGGACCUUCGAGGGACGUCGGAGGAGCUCGCGGGGCACUCGCCGGCACCGGGCGGCGAGGUUGCCGCGGUGGGGCGGCGAGGUGCGGNNNNNNNNNNNNNNNNNNNNNNNNNNNNNNNNNNNNNNNNNNNNNNNNNNNNNNNNNNNNNNNNNNNNNNNNNNNNNNNNNNNNNNNNNNNNNNNNNNNNNNNNNNNNNNNNNNNNNNNNNNNNNNNNNNNNNNNNNNNNNNNNNNNNNNNNNNNNNNNNNNNNNNNNNNNNNNNNNNNNNNNNNNNNNNNNNNNNNNNNNNNNNNNNNNNNNNNNNNNNNNNNNNNNNNNNNNNNNNNNNNNNNNNNNNNNNNNNNNNNNNNNNNNNNNNNNNNNNNNNNNNNNNNNNNNNNNNNNNNNNNNNNNNNNNNNNNNNNNNNNNNNNNNNNNNNNNCGGGGAGGGCCGGCCUCGGGCCAGGCGGGCCGGCGCGGGCGAGGCGGCGAACUGGGGACCCGCCGGGACACGUGACGCGCCCUGGUUCGUCGCGGGCGGCGGCGGCGACUUUGUCCGACCGGACCGGACGUGUCCGGCACGGCGCGGUGGAAGAGGAGCUAGGUUAGGGGUAGAAUGAUCCGCGAAUUUUCGGGGAAGGCCUUUAUAUAGGGGUAGAGGAGGCUAGGAAGCUCCAAAUGGAGUGCGGUUUUCGGCCACGCGAUCGUGAUCGAACGCUCUAGACGAUGGAAGGGUUUUUUGGUGGGUUUUAGGCCAAAUUGGAAGGGUGUUGGGCUGCAACACAAACGAGGCCUUCUCGGUCCCUCGGUUAACCGUUGGAGUAUCAAACGAAGUCCAAAUGGCACGAAACUUGACAGGCGGUCUACGGUAGUAAACCAAGGCCGCAUGACAAGUCUCGGUCCAAUCCGGAAAAGUUUAACCCCCACACACGAAAAGAGGUAGAAAGGGGCACCGGAGGAGAUAGGAGCGCCGGAAUGCAAAACGGACAACGGGGAAAAUGCUCGGAUGCAUAAGACGAACACGUAUGCGAAUGCAAUGCACAUGAUGACAUGAUAUGAGAUGCAUGACAAAGACAACAACACACACGGAGACAAAAACCCGAAACCGAGAAAAUAAUAUAACUUAGACCGGAAACGGCAAGAGUUGGAAUACAUAUAAGGUAAAUUACAUCUGGGGUGUUACAGACCGCCGCCAGCCGCGGGCGGCAAAGGCAGGUGGUUCGGCGCUGCAGGAAGAAUAGUAAUAGCCGGAGGAAGAAGAAGGAAUAGGAACUGUUGGAGUGCCAUCUGAGAUGCUGACAAAUCAACUAACACAAGUUUUUUUUAGUCAACUUGCACUCUCAGUUAGGAUCAGCAAACAACUAGUGCAACUCAGGCCCUCUUUGAUUCGUAGGAUUCUCAAAACACGGGAAUAGGAAAAAUAAAGGAUUGGGGUGACAUGCCCACUUGAAUCCCAUAGGAUUAGUACAUAGUGUUUGAUGCCACAGGAAAAACAAAGAAAGUGAAAAAAAAAGGUUGGAGUGGAUGCUAGAUUUCCAAUGAAAUAUAAUAACAUGAUUCCAUAGAAAAAAUCCUAUAGGAUUCAAUCCUAUGAAUCAAACGACCAAUGACAAUGUAGAAAAAAAUUCUAAGGGUUCUCUAGACUUUGUAAAUAUAAUGCAUGUCCUUAAGACAAGUGCUAGUGAAAAAAAAUGGCACAUCAGAGUCACCGGUGCUCAGGAAAGGAGAUACAUGCUUGAGUUUGCUUCACUGCUUCCCCAGUGCCUGCAUGCAAAAGUGACCGUCUCUUUCUUAUACAGCGCUUCAUGCGGUGUUAUUCUGAGUGCUUCUUUUCCUUUUCAUCCACGCAUAUGAUCUGAUCACUGUACACCAUUGUGCAUUGGACGCCACAGGUGCUUGAGCCGGUGCUAGCAAGACAGGGAACGCAAGACAGUUGCCCCAUCUAAGCACCUGUGUAGACUUGCUAGCUUUGGACAAAGCUAAUGUUUUACAAGUGCUUAGUGACACCUCAAUAUUUCUCCUUAAGCACGUGUGUCUAAACACUCUGCACUGUACAAGGCUUUAACCUCCCUUUUUCUAGAAGAGAGCUAGGCCUCUCUUCCUGCCAACACUUGCCGAAACGGUUUUAAAGUCCAUACAUAUGCAAAUAUGUAAUCGUCUCCACAAACACUAAGGCAGCUGUCAAAAACCGUUUCCAGUAAGAACAAAACCUCGGGGUUACACGAACGCUGGACAUCAAGCAGCAAAGCACAGAUUGCCGCAGCAUUACCCAUGCCAUCACAGUUCCAAAAUAACAGCUUCAUACUCCCUUCAUUUCGAAUUACUCGUCGCAGGUAUGAAUAUAUCUAGAUUACUUGUUAUAGGUAUGAAUGUAUUUAGAUGUAUUUUAGUUCUAGAUACAUCCAUUCCUACGACGAGUAAUUUGGAACAGAGGGAGUAGAUGGCAGCGGUCUCCUCCACGAGACCCCGUCGAUCCUGUAAAACUUCCAGAUGCAAUCGCAAGGAGACCUCACGAACAAAACAGGAACCCUAGAUGCAGCAUCACCAUCCCGCCCACCACAAACGCUCAAGACCAGGAAGUGGCUCAACGACCACCCCUUGAUAACUCAAGAACCACCAGCAUCUAGGGAGAGUAAAGCAACAUAGUAGAACAUCUGCUUUCAUUAAAUUAUUAUUAUUAUCAUUAGAAAGAUAUAAACGCAACAGUUCACCUUUGCCGUUUUACUCUCAAUCUGCUAAGACUACGAUAGUUACCAACCAAAACAGCCAGUAAUAAUAUACCAAUUCCCCAUAUGUAAUAAUGCGGUAGGAACCAAAGGACUAGCAAACAAUUCCCGUACAUUCCAUCGACCAUUACACAUCGGAAAUUGAAACUUGAAACAAGCGACUAGAAAACUGCCUGUAAACUUCAGUUAAGAUUCUGUUCACAGCUCGCAGAGAAUACAAAUACGAGAGGCAACACAUGGCCAGGUAGAAUUCCAGGGGUGAGGCUUCUCCCUUCCGAGGAACACCAGUGAUAAUGUUCUAUAUGGGUGCCAUGCUCAACGGUUACCACCACCGCUGCGGACACCAUAUCCCCCUCUGCCUCGCCGCUGCUGCUGACCACGCCGCUGCUGGUUAAACUGAUGGCCAUUGGUAGGAGCUUUUGGUUGCUGCGGUGGCAUGACCCUCAUCCGUUGCUGCUUCAUCUGUGCAAAGAGCGCAUCCAUUGUCCUUGGAGGCUCAUUCUGCAUCUCCUUACC
rnacentral:lncRNA from 1 species